rnacentral:rRNA from 1 species
AGAGUGAACGCUGGCGGCGUGGUUAAGACAUGCAAGUCGAACGGGCUUUUGCGAAGGGUUAAACUGGAGCAAGAGCUAGUGGCGAACGGGUGCGUAACACGUGGGCAACCUUCCCGGAAAUGGGGGAUAGCUCGGGGAAACUCGAAUUAAUACCGCAUGUGGUGGUCGGCCGCCUGGUCGAUCUACUAAAGCUUGUAAUGGCGUUUCCGGAGGGGCUCGCGGCCUAUCAGCUUGUUGGCGGGGUAAUGGCCCACCAAGGCUAAGACGGGUAGCCGGUCUGAGAGGAUGAUCGGCCACACUGGAACUGAGACACGGUCCAGACACCUACGGUGGCAGCAGUUUCGAAUCAUUCACAAUGGGCGAAAGCCUGAUGGUGCGACGCCGCGUGGGGAUGAAGGUCUUCGGAUUGUAAACCCUGUCACCUGGGACAAACUCUAGCGAUGAGCUAGACUGAUUUAACCAGGAGAGGAAGCGAGUGGCUAACUCUGUGCCAGCACGCCG